AUACGGAAGGUGCAAGCGUUAAUCGGAAUCACUGGGCGUAAAGCGCUCGUAGGUGGCUUUGUAAGUCAGGUGUGAAAGCCCACGGCUCAACUGCGGAAUUGCCCUUGAUACUGCUGGACUUGAGUUCGGGAGAGGGUGGCGGAAUUCCAGGUGUAGGAGUGAAAUCCGUAGAGAUCUGGAGGAACACCAGUGGCGAAGGCGACUACCUGGACCGAUACUGACACUGAGGAGCGAAAGCGU
rnacentral:rRNA from 1 species